rnacentral:rRNA from 1 species
CAAUAGCGUAUAUUAAAGUUGUUGCAGUUAAAAAGCUCGUAGUUGGAUUUCUGGUCGGAAGCUCCUGUCCUCUGAUGAGCGUACAAGUGCGUCCUACCAUCCUUCUGUUAACCUUUAAGGCUUUCGCGGCUUUCUAGGGGCUCAGAUAUUUUACCUUGAGAAAAUUGGAGUGUUUCAGGCAGGCUAGCGCCGGAAUACAUUAGCAUGGAAUAAUGGAAUAGGACUUUUGCCUCUUCUGUUGGUCAUGAGGCUCGAGUAAUGAUUAAUAGGGAUAGUUGGGGGCAUUAGUACUUAACUGUCAGAGGUGAAAUUCUCGGAUUUGUUAAAGACUAACUUAUGCGAAAGCAUUUGCCAAGGAUGUUUUCAUUAA